UAGUGUAAGUUUUCAAAAUUUGUUGAGUGUAAGUUGAAUUAAUGGGUUUUGGUGAGAUUUUUGGGGGAAAUCUUCUGUUAGGUUAUGAUGCUGUCAAUAAUUUGUCAAAUAGGGAUUUGUAAAACAGUAAAAUGAUAAAGAGUAUCCAAAUAUCUGUUGAUCAGCACAGGUGGUUACCACUUACGCAGAUACAAAAUUACCGAGGACUUUUGUAUAAAAACAAGGAAACAGUCAAAAAGUUGAAUAAAUUAACGUAUGAAAUAUAUCAAGCUGUGAACUAUGUACUCCUCUAGAGAUACUGUUCCUCGUGAAAAUGAUUUAAAAAAUCUGGUAAUAAUCGCCAAUUUUCGUUUGUUAAGGCGUUACAUAACCUCAAUCUUUACUAUAGACCGUUAAAAUAGAAUGGUUAUUGACCCUCGGUGAACAUUAACUUCACUUCCAUUAGCCAAAUUUAAUUACCAUCAUGGAGAAAAAUGAAUUUAUUACUCACAGACAAAGCAUGAUAGUGGUGCAUCUCUACGCUACUAGUGAAAAAAAUUAAUUAUACGCUUGUAGGUGCGUAGGUAUUUCGAUUCAGGUCAGACAACAAACAAUACUCAAUUCCCACUAUAUAUCAAAUAAAGGAAAUUUACUUGUAUAUCCUGCCACGCUAACUGUUUAAAUUUAAGAUGGUUUUCUUGACUUGAUGAAAAAAGAGUUCCGAGUGACAAAACGUGGCAAACCAAUUUUUCUGUACUUUUUGUACUUAUGGAUUUUCCAAAGGUCUCUCAAAAGUUUGAAUCCUUCGAAAAAGAGCAUUAAAAAGGCUUGCAGUUAAAUAUUUAUUUGCAAACACAACUGCUAAAUCUGUUUACAAUUACUAAAAAAUGUUUCGACUUCAAAUAGGACAGCUACAUGGAAAAGAAGACAGUGAAACUCAUACAUAGAAAAAUGCCCCAUGGAAACUAAAAUUCAAAAUUUGUAGUACACACUUGAAUAUAGCUGUGGUUAAAUCAAAAACUUUGUUUCAGAGGACAGGUGUGUGUAACACAUCUUUCUUUGAAUUGCUUAAUUGUGCUUCAUAGUAUAUGAUUUGUACAGCAAAAGGUUUUUAUUACAAAAUCUCUAACACACGAAACAGCAAUACAGUUUUAUGAGGGAAAAAUACAAAAUUAUGCUUAUAAUAAGAUAAGUGACUUCAUAACUUCCACUUGACAGUAGAAUUAGAAC